rnacentral:tRNA from 1 species
GGGGAAGUGUCGGAAUGGGCAGACGAGCGUGACUUAGGAUCACGCGGGGUAUCCCCGUGCGGGUUCGAGUCCCGCCUUCCCCACCU